rnacentral:rRNA from 1 species
UAGAGAUUGCGUCAGUAGCGGCGAGCGAAAGCGCAAGAGGGCAAACCCAGUGCUUGCACUGGGGGUUGUAGGACUGCAAUAUGCAAGAGGUAAGUUUAGCAGAACAUUCUGGAAAGUAUAACCAUAGAGGGUGAUAGUCCCGUAUGCGAAAAACAAACCUUAGCUAGCAGUAUCCUGAGUAGGGCGGGACACGAGGAAUCCUGUCUGAAUCCGGGUCGACCACGAUCCAACCCUAAAUACUAAUACCAGAUCGAUAGUGCACAAGUACCGUGAGGGAAAGGUGAAAAGAACUGAGGUGAUCAGAGUGAAAUAGAACCUGAAACCAUUUGCUUACAAUCAUUCAGAGCCCUAUGUAGCAAUACAGGGUGAUGGACUGCCUUUUGCAUAAUGAGCCUGCGAGUUGUGGUGUCUGGCAAGGUUAAGCAAACGCGAAGCCGUAGCGAAAGCGAGUCUGAAUAGGGCGCUUAGUCAGAUGCUGCAGACCCGAAACGAAGUGAUCUAUCCAUGAGCAAGUUGAAGCUAGUGUAAGAACUAGUGGAGGACUGAACCCAUAGGCGUUGAAAAGCCCCGGGAUGACUUGUGGAUAGGGGUGAAAGGCCAAUCAAACUUCGUGAUAGCUGGUUCUCUCCGAAAUAUAUUUAGGUAUAGCGUUGUGUCGUAAUAUAAGGGGGUAGAGCACUGAAUGGGCUAGGGCAUACACCAAUGUACCAAACCCUAUCAAACUCCGAAUACCUUAUAUGUAAUCACAGCAGUCAGGCGGCGAGUGAUAAAAUCCGUCGUCAAGAGGGAAACAACCCAGACUACCAGCUAAGGUCCCUAAGUCUUACUUAAGUGGAAAACGAUGUGAAGUUACUUAAACAACCAGGAGGUUGGCUUAGAAGCAGCCAUCCUUUAAAGAAAGCGUAAUAGCUCACUGGUCUAGUGAUUUUGCGCGGAAAAUAUAACGGGGCUAAAGU